rnacentral:rRNA from 1 species
GACGAACGCUGGCGGCGUGCCUAAUGCACGCAAGUCGCACGCGGCACCUUCGGGUGCUGAGUGGCGAACGGCUGAGGAACACGUGGGGACCUGUCCGGGAGUGGGGGACAACACCGCGAAAGCGGUGCUAAUCCCGCAUACGCUCUGAGGAGGAAAGCCGAAAGGCGCUCCUGGGUGGCCCUGCGGCCCAUCAGGUUGUUGGUGGGGUAACGGCCUACCAAGCCAAUGACGGGUCGCUGGUCUGUGAGGACGACCAGCCAGACUGGGACUGGGACACGGCCCAGACUCCUACGGGAGGCAGCAGCAAGGAAUUUUCGGCAAUGGGCGCAAGCCUGACCGAGCAACGCCGCGUGCAGGAUGACGGCCUUCGGGUUGUAAACUGCUUUUGCUAGGGAUGACACGGACCGUACCUGGCGAAUAAGCCCCGGCUAACUCUGUGCCAGCAGCCGCCGUAAUAC